UUCACAUUUGUGGGUUAGUUGGCUUCAACUCUGGUCUGGUUGAUAUGUCAAGUUUGUGUACAAAGUCACACAUUGUGGAAAGUUCCAGCGCAUGGGCCUCUGGUAUCUUCGUCUUCGAUUUCAUCACUAUUAAGUGUGUUUGCUGGUUUCCUCUUUUAUUCUGCAGAAGCAGUUUUGCUCAGAUUGGUGUGAACUAUUUACUGUAUAUCCUCUAAACAACCACAGAAUGAGGACAGUGCAGCUUUUAGUCUUCGGUCUGCUGGUGUGUCAAAAUACAGAGCGUUUAACUGAUAAAUGGGUGAAAACGUGACUUUAGACUGUCAGAUUGGUGUAAGAGACAUUUACUGGGUUUUCCAGAAACUGACCGAUUCUCCGGAGCUGAUACUGCGAACUUUCUCAUUAGAUUCUACACGAUCUCACGUAGACCAAAGACUAAAAGACAAAUAUUCAUCACUAACUUUUAGCCAUUUACUUAUUAGGAAUGUAACUAUUAAUGAAUUAGGAAUAUAUUAUUGUGCAAAACUAAACAGAAGUCUACAGCUCUGAAAUGGCAUCAGACUUUACAUCACUGGUAAGUGUGUAUAAAUUUAUUUUGACAAAUCAGUUUGAUCUGUUGUUAUAUCUAUGAAUGAUCUAAAAGCAGUUAUCAUGUACAUAUUACAUUCAAUUUGUAUUUUAACCUUUAUUUCUAUCAGAGGUCUAUGCAAAACUGAUGCAUGUUAGGGAUUUCCAAACACUAAACCCUUGUAUUUUCUGUUCAGAAGAAGCUGCUCGAAAUCACAAUCAGACAGAACUGAAAAAUAACUCGCAAUGUCCGAAUACACAGCAAUCUCUCAUAAUUGUGUACUUCAUACCAAAUAUUGUGAUGUUUUUGGCAACAAUAGGCCUAUUUCAGUUCAAACUUCAAGAGUGUAAGAAAAGAUGUCAACGAUGUCGAGAUGAGAAACUGGAGCAUCUUUACAGCACAAAUGAUGACGAGCCAAAGACAAGAACUAGACAAAUAUAAUCAGGAGUAAAUCACCUCAUAGAGUCUAAUAGUACGUAUUGUAUAUUGUGCUAAAUAAUGAGUAAAAUAUUGUUAGCUUGACUGCUGUUAAAAAUUGACUGAUGUUUGUUACCUAAACAUGCAUGUAAUACAAAAUUUGCAAUGUUUUCAGGAUGACUUUGCUUUUGUUUUGAUAAUUAAGUCUUGUAAAUAAAAUCUUAAAUCUUAAUUCUA